rnacentral:rRNA from 1 species
AGCAGCCGCGGUAAUUCCAGCUCCAAUAGCGUAUAUUAAAGUUGCUGCAGUUAAAAAGCUCGUAGUUGAAUUUCGGGACCAUCAUGUCGGUCGUGCCUCGGUACGUACUGGCAUUGUUGGUUUCUACCUUCUGACGAACCAUGAUGUCAUUUAUUUGGUGUCGUGGGAAAUCAGGACUGUUACUUUGAAAAAUUAGAGUGUUUAAAGCAGGCUCACGCUUGAAUACAUUAGCAUGGAAUAAUGAAAUAGGACGUUUGAUUCUAUUUUGUUGGUUUCUAGGAUCGACGUAAUGAUUAAUAGGGAUAGUUGGGGGCAUUAGUAUUCAAUUGUCAGAGGUGAAAUUCUUGGAUUUAUUGAAGACUAACUACUGCGAAAGCAUUUGCCAAGGAUGUUUUCAUUAAUCAAGAACGAAAGUUAGGGGAUCGAAGACGAUCAGAUACCGUCGUAGUCCUAACCAUAAACUAUGCCGACUAGGGAUCGGAUGAUGUUAAUUUUUAAUGA